UAAGAUUCAUAGAUAAUCUGAUCAUAAAUCCACAAUUCAUCGGAUCUCGAUAAACACACCGCAAAAGAAGAUUACAUCGGAUAGGUCUCCAUGAAGAUCAUGGGGAACUUUGUAUUGAAGAUCCAAGACAGAGAAGAAGCCAUCUAUCUACUAGCUAUGGACCCGAAGGUCUAUGGUGAACUACUCACGCAUCAUCUGAGAGGUUAUGGUGUUGAUGAAGAAGCCCUCCAUAUCUGAAUCCUCCUCUGGAAGGGCACCAGAACAUGCCCCAGAUGGGAUCUUGCGGAGAUAGAAGCUUGCGGCAGCGGAAAAGUAUUUUCGUGUGUCUCUCGCGCAGUUUUGGAUUUUCUCUGAAUUUAUAGGCGAAAGAGGUAGGGUAGACGAGCCACAGAGGGCCCAC
rnacentral:lncRNA from 1 species